rnacentral:lncRNA from 1 species
CAACUAUUCACUAUAUUCAGUAUAAUAAAUUAUUGCAUUUUUAGCUGAAUAUUGAAUGGAUACGAGUUUAACUUUGCUUGCUUAUGACCUAUGCCAUAUGCGUGAAUCACCUGAGCUGCACAAGGGGUUUCUUGAAGCCUUACUGUGAUGAUACCAGAGUGUGUUCUUUCAAAUAUUUCAAAAGUGUAAAUCUGUUUACUAAACAAACAAUAUUGUCAGUAUUGUUCUUAAUGACAUUUUGAUCAUCCGGUCUUUGUAGACUGAAUAUUUUGUGACCACUUCCGAAUACACUAAAACGACGGUAACUCCGAAAAUGAACAUUUCAAUAUUGUUUAGUGUCUUUCGAGUGUCGACCUUUAGCCAUCGUGAGGAAAGAUCAAGGUUACAUUAGUUUAACCGUUGGUAACUUUAUACUUUAAUAUCCAUUCACUUGUAUAUAAAGAACGUAACAUGACUUUAGGACAGUCCGUUGGUCUGAACAUACAUGUGAAGAAGGUUUUGAAAUAAAAUCGAAAUAUAUAAUCAUGCAUAAAAAAAUUUGUCUUAAAUUUGAUGAAUAUCUUGGAUUUUCAAGAUGCAUGGAAUUUGCUUUAUCUUGUUUUUUUUACACUGUUGGCAGGAAAUGGAUUUUGGGAUCAUAGAAUUAGCUACAAUCCCAACAAGCAUAAGCACGUGCUGUAAGCGUGCACCAUGAAGGGAAACAACGUGGUACUCAGAGAAAACCUGGAACAAUCAAACUGAAAGAAUUCUUCUCACGUGCAAGCGAUGUUACAUGAACGAUUGUCCUACGAAUAGCUCCUCCAACAACACUCUUAUUUUGAUAUAAUUGCAUGUUCACACAAAAUUUCUAGAAUGCAGAGCGUAGUCCAUUUGGUCCACGUGAGAAGUGCUUCAAAGCACAACACAGAAUCAAAUCUUGACAAUGUUCGAAUGACGUCAUGUUUUGACGAAGUAAACACUUGGAGGAUUUGAGUUGGUUCACACGCGAUAAGGAGCACUCCAGACAACUAGUGUCUUCGUAUGUCAACCAGAGCUCAGGUUUCUCACGCAAAACGAUAUUUAUAGUUCGUGAAACUUUCCAUACGAGCCUUGAAUCACCAGAAUUAGUAACUUAGCUGUCAAUUUGUAAGAGGCAGACUUUAUAAAUAACUUUCUUUCUUUUGUCUACUGUCUAAAACAGGUUUUCAAACAAGACAUUCGCUUUCUCCAAAGAUUCUGUUUUCUGUCCUUAUUUUCAACUCGGAACAGUGGUUCGAUUCGUGCAGUAUAAAAUACAGUUUCCUUUAUGUCAGGAUAAGAUACGAAUGUGUUUGUCAUUUAUUAUUCACUCUGAUUACAUUUCAGCAACGAUAGCAAUCCCGCGAGCGGCCAUCACAAAGAUAACUUUUCAAAAGAAAUCAGGAAUUUGACGUAGUCUCAUAUGAAUACAGAUGACCAGUUUCAGCUGCAGUUGCAAUCACUCACAUGGUAAUUUUUACCAACAAAUAAAGAACGGGACCAUGCCAUAUGAUAAUUUUUACCAACAGGCACCAUGGGCAGAAUUUUAUUACUUUCCAAUAGGACGGAAGUCGCCAGGGUUUUAGACUGAUUAAAACUAAUAGGAAAUAUUAAUAAAUAAAGAACGCCAAGAAUUGUAAUUUACUGAAUGAAAACAAAUAGGAAAUUAAAACAUACUUGAUAUGUUUUGAAUUUAAGAAUUUAAUAUAGUUAUUUUAUUCACCAGCG